rnacentral:rRNA from 1 species
UACAGAGGGUGCGAGCGUUAAUCGGAAUUACUGGGCGUAAAGCGUGCGUAGACGGCUAUCUAAGUCGGGUGUGAAAGCCCCGGGCUCAACCUGGGAAUUGCAUUCGAGACUGAAUAGCUAGGGUGCGGUAGAGGGAAGCGGAAUUUCCGGUGUAGCGGUGAAAUGCGUAGAUAUCGGAAGGAACAUCAGUGGCGAAAGCGGCUUCCUGGAC